rnacentral:rRNA from 1 species
GACGAACGCUGGCGGCGUGCUUAACACAUGCAAGUCGAACGAAGUGGCGAACGGGUGAGUAACGCGUAAUCAACGUGCACUUCAGGGGGGGAAAACAGUUGGAAACGACUGCUAAUACCGCAUAAGGAAGAGGGGGAUUGCGUCGGAUUAGCUUGUUGGAGGGGUAACGGCCCACCAAGGCGAUGAUCAGUAGCCGGUCUGGGAGGAUGAACGGCCACAUUGGGACUGAGACACGGCCCAGACUCCUACGGGAGGCAGCAGUGGGGAAUCUUCCGCAAUGGACGAAAGUCUGACGGAGCAACGCCGCGUGAGUGAUGAUGGCCUUCGGGUUGUAAAGCUCUGUUAAUCGGGACGCGGUACCGGAAUAGAAAGCCACGGCUAACUACGUGCCAGCAGCCGCGGUAAUAC